rnacentral:lncRNA from 1 species
UCUAGGAUCCCUUCAAUCUAAUGAUGUGCUUUUAUUUGGCUAAGCUUGGUAUCUCUAAGAGUCAUUUAGUGCAGACCAAUCAGUUAUUCCAUUCUAAGUCCCAAUCAUUUGAUUCUCCAGUAUUUUGAUCAUCUUGUAAGUUAAAGGACGAACCUUCAAACCUAGGUUCCUGCUCAGUGACAAAGUUAAUGGUUAUUUGAGCUAUAUAUAUCAACGGACCAAUUGUUAUCUUUACUUCUAGAAGGCAGUGUCAGAUCUGGUCAUGUCUUUCCAGUAAAAAGAUGUCCUACUAACUCUAUGAGGGAUGCCAAACUCCU